UACGUAGGGGGCGAGCGUUGUCCGGAUUUACUGGGCGUAAAGCGCGCGUAGGCGGGAGGUGAAGUCCGGUGGGAAAGCCCACGGCUCAACCGUGGAAGAACGCUGGAAACUCACCUUCUUGAGGGCGGCAGAGGGAAGUGGAAUUGCUGGUGUAGCGGUGAAAUGCGUAGAUAUCAGCAGGAACACCCGUGGCGAAGGCGGCUUCCUGGGCCGCCCCUGACGCUGAGGCGCGAAAGCGUGGGGAGCAAACAGG
rnacentral:rRNA from 1 species